AGCAUCUCGAGAACUUCAGGACCGGGAUAGAUGGUAUCUUAAUAUGCGUUUGAACAUGUGCACUUAAUGUGCUUGGUUAAUUGGAGUAAUUAGUAGUCUUUUCAUUCCAAGGCCGUUGCUGAAAUUAAAACGGGGCUGUUAUUUCUUUUAAUGGACUAACUGAAGAAUUAUUAUUUUGAAAGUGAAUCAAGACUGAAGGAUGCGAAGUUCUGUGCUCCAAAAGAGGAGGAAGGGACUGGAAUUCUAAGGAUCUGAACAUCUUUGGGGAAAGUUCCCAGCCUCAUUUACUCCCUCCAGAUAUCACAAUACCCAGGGUGAUAUAAUUUAUUACCCAACCCAGGACACUUUUGAGAAUAAAAUGGGGCCUGUUUACUGAUUUCAUCGGGAUAACAGUCCUAAACAGAGUGUUCCAGCAAACCGGAGUAUGAGCACUCUACCAACACUUCACGUGGCUAUAGCUGUACACACAGGGGACUAGCCAUUUGAUACCAUCUGUUUCUCACACACAUCCAUGAGGGAAGAAUCAUUCCCAUUUAACAGACAAUGUAACUGGGGCUGAAUAUAGCUCAGCGACUUGCCCCAGGCCCACCAGGAAGUGGAUAAAGCCGUGCUCAACCCAGCACUUCUUCAAAGCCUUAUUCUUUGUCUGCCACACUGACCCACGCUGAUUCCUUCUGGUCAGCCAAGAAUGGCACAGGAGUGGGCUGGUAACAUGUGAGCAUGUGCAGCUGAACUGGAAGGUGGCCAGGAGCUGAAGUAGCAGAGAGCAGAGCUGCAUUUCAAGAGGAGGCAGCAGGGCAUCCCGGCCAGGAAGCCUCACAGGCAGCCAGGUGGGUUGCCAAAAGAGGCUGCUCCCUUGGUGUUCUGGACCAGCUUCUGACCCUUAGGCGUGGAAGUGUCUCAAAUGAGCUCCAGGGGUCCUGUGUGACCAAAGGAGCUUAAUUGCAAAGGCACCAGCUAUUGUGACAGAAUUUUUGAGACGAUAACUUUCAACAAGUUCCUGGACUGAGAGGGCUGGCCGUAAAGUGGGCGUGGUCUAUGGGCUGUCAUAGUUACCGUCUUCUGUGACGUAUCAAAAGGGCAUUGUUGAUGCUCUCAUUUCCACCAUUUGAUACCAUCUGUUUCUCACACACAUCCAUGAGGGAAGAAUCAUUCUCAUUUAACAGACAAUGUAACUGGGCCUGAAUAUAGCUCAGCGACUUGCCCCAGGCCCACCAGGAAGUGGAUAAAGCCAUGCUCAACCCAGCACUUCUUCUCCCUACCUUCCACCCAUCCUGCCUGCUCAUCUUCCCUCCUUGGUGAAGGCAUGUGUGCUGUGCUCUGCUUAACUAAUUUCCCUCAGAUAUUCGCAUUUCUGUCUUUACAAUUUGGCAUCCCAGUGAGGUUUCCCUUUGUAUAUUUUCCGGUUCCUGUAUUCCCAUUAUUCAGGUAUCAUCACUCAAUAACCAUUUGACAGCAGUAAUGCUUUUCACAUGGAAAGAAUUGGGUUUUUAUUGAUGGCAAAUGUUGUGAUGAACUUUCAUGCCCACUUGGAGCCGGAGCACCUUUUUUAUAGAAUGAACCACAAUGAGAAGCGUUUCCAAGAAAUGUCUUUGGAGUGUGGACUGAGAUGUACUUUUAGGAACAGGUCCUGUGGCCAGAGUGGGGAGAGAGGGGCCUUCCCAUUGUCAAAAUCUCAUCAAUCAAAAUGUAUAAUAGCAACAUUAUUAAUAACCCUAUAGUUGCAUUGCACUUGGUGCUCUUCCAAGCACUUCCCUAGAAUCCUAAAAUGAAGGCAGGGCAGAUAUUAUAUCCAUGUUACAGGUUAAACAACAUUGUAACAGGACUGAUAACACCAUGAAUGAGAAGUCAUUUGACCAAUGGAACUCAACCAUCUCAUGCUCCUACUACCAUGGUUGACGAGGAAGCUGAGCCAUCAGACAGAGCAGUGGUGACCUACGGAGCCGUGCUUUCAUGACCAUAUGGCCUCUCAGCCGCGGGACUUGCCACACUGUCCCAUACAAUCCUCUGUCAUUUUAGUAUCUCUCACUGCCAGGUCUUCUUCACACCAGCUUGUGAGAAAAAACGGUGCAUCACUUCUCAAUCCUGGUUUUAGUGACAUCAUAUUGAUAGCUGGAACUUUGCCAUAUUUACAUCACAGAAAUCAGUAAACACCAUUAAAAAGG